rnacentral:sRNA from 1 species
GUGUCCUGAACUCUACACUGGGACACUGUGUCAGACCCAAGUCAAAGUCACAUGCUCCAAUGUCCAGUGUGAAAAUGGAGGCACUUGUCAGGAGGACGAGAAUGAUGCCCACUGCCUAUGCCCCAGUGGAUUUACAGGCAGAUACUGUGAGGAAAUGGGGGAGGUUACAGAGGGUGGAACUUUAUAUUUCACAAAGAUUGCUGGAAACAUGUCACUCAGUCCUGGUAGUAAUGUCAUCUUGGAAUGUGCGGUGAAUGACCCGACAGCACAUGUCAUGUGGUUGUUACAUGAUAGAAUUCUUACCAAAGCUGAUUGGUCAAGAGGU